CGGUUUUACUUAACGAAAGAAUUUUUAAUCUUUUAGUUUCGACCCCGUUUGGUCACCGAAAGCUCUACUGAAUUGUAAUCUCUAGCAGAUAGCAGUUCGAUUUUUAUUUUCCACCUUCCGGGUGUCAGAAUGAGGUGAAACUUUAAUUCUAGCCUCACAAAAAUAAUUCUGACAUAUCCUCUAGUUUUUAUAAUUUUCUGACACUGCAUUUUUUGCUAAGUUUUCUGCCCCGUACCUCACAGAAAAUUCUAAAUCUUCUGUUUUCGCUCCGAUUUCAGUACAGGUCAUUUCCAACUUAUACUUUACGCCCUUAAGUCCAAUAAAAAUAGUAUCUCACACUAUUUUUAUUUAUAUUUAUUUUUAUAUUAAAAAUCCAGCAUACUACAUCCACCGUAACUUCAUAAUUUUAGAAGUUCGUACUUUACAAUAGAAGUUCGGUACCUUACACCUACCCUGGUGUACCGGUACCAGGCCGAUGCUGUACAGAUACCCCGCAGCAGCCUUGACAACCCGUGAGUAGCAAACAGAAAUUCUAUACAGAGAUACCGGUAC
rnacentral:lncRNA from 1 species